rnacentral:rRNA from 1 species
UACGUAGGCAGCAAGCGUUGUUCGGAGUUACUGGGCGUAAAGGGUGUGUAGGCGGUUCUUUAAGUUUGGUGUGAAAUCUCCCGGCUCAACUGGGAGGGUGCGCCGAAUACUGAGGGACUAGAGUACGGGAGAGGAAAGUGGAAUUCCUGGUGUAGCGGUGAAAUGCGUAGAUAUCAGGAGGAACACCGGUGGUGUAAACGGCUCACUGGACCGUAACUGACGCUGAGACACGAAAGCGUGGGUAGCAAACAGG